UACAGAGGUCCCAAGCGUUGUUCGGAUUCACUGGGCGUAAAGGGUGCGUAGGCGGUCGGGUAAGUCUGAUGUGAAAUCUCACAGCUUAACUGUGAAACUGCAUUGGAUACUAUCCGGCUCGAGGAAUGGAGGGGAGACUGGAAUACUUGGUGUAGCAGUGAAAUGCGUAGAUAUCAAGUGGAACACCAGUGGCGAAGGCGGCUUCUUGGCCUGUUCUUGACGCUGAGGCGCGAAAGCUAGGGGAGCAAACGGG
rnacentral:rRNA from 1 species